UAAUAUCGGAAGGUUCUGCUUUUCCGUUUUAUCAAAACUUGGCAUAGACGGGGUCAAAAUGAAUACCAACUAACCCACAACACACACGCGUGCGCGAGAUAAAAAGGGCAGACGCUGAGCCCAUAAACUCGUCAGCCCUUUUUCUUCCAGAAGGAGCGACCUGUUACCAAGGCAAUCGAGAGCUCGCUGCGCCUGCGCAUUCUCUCUCCCGGCGCGGGGGAAGGAGGGCUUGCCGGAGCGGAAACGGAAGUGGAAGUGGAGGCAGAACCUGCCAGGAGAUUAAUACCAAGAUUUCAACAAUGGGUGUGAGAGGUUUACAUGGAUUUGUGGGAAAUGCCUGUCCCAGUGUAUGUACAGUAGUAAAUUUGAAAGAAAUGGCAGAAAAAUACCAGAUUCACCAUCCUGGAUGCACUCCUGUAAUUGUUGUUGAUGCCAUGUGCUGUCUUAGACACUGGUAUACACCCAAAUCUUGGGUCUGUGGUGGCCAGUGGCUGGAAUACCUUUCUAUCUUACAAGAUUUCAUUAAAGCUUUUAAUACAGCAGGCAUCAAGUUGGUAUUCUUCUUUGAUGGUGUGGUAGAGCAGAAUAAGAGGCAUGAAUGGGUGAAACGGAGACUGAGGGACAACAAGGAAAUAUCUAGAAUCUUUCAGUUCAUCAAGACCCAUAGGCAACAACCAAGCAGAAAUAUGUUCUUCAUUCCCUCAGGGCUGGCUAUAUUUACUAUUUUUGCUUUAAAAUCCCUGGGUCAGGAAACUAUGUGUUCAUUACGAGAGGCAGACUAUGAAGUAGCUUCUUAUGGGCUUCAAAAUAACUGCCUGGGAAUUCUUGGAGAAGAUACUGACUAUCUCAUCUAUAAUACAUGCCCUUACUUUUCUGUUAAUAAGCUCUGCCUUGACAGGCUUAUUACUGUUAUGUUCUCAAGAGAGAACCUUUGCCAUAGCCUGGGCCUCAAUAUAACAGAUCUUCCUCUCUUGGCCUGCAUCCUGGGCAAUGAUAUAGUUCCAGAAGGCAUGUUGGAAAAUUUUCGACAAAAAUGCUUGUCUGGCUAUCCUUUUGCUAAACAGAACAAUGACAAAAGGACUAACACAAUCCUAGCCGUGGCAGACUACAUAGCUAGAGUUCUCCACUCACAGCAAGGGGUGAAAGACCUGCAAGAGAUGUUACCUUUGGGAAGAAAUAAAACUCAGUUUUGUAGGGGCAUAUUGUCCUAUCUCCUGCCUGGGCAACAAUCUCCCUGGCUUCUCGAAAUAUCCAGCUUGGAAACAUCAGACAAGCAAGAAGUAACCAUGUGUUCAGACCCAGAGAUCUUACAGAUAGCUAAGAAACAACAUAUCCAAGCUGAAAGCUACCUGGUCUACAAUAUCCUAAGGAGUGGAGAGAUUGAAUGCAGCAACACAUUGGAAGAUGAAUUUGACCCAGAACUCCCUGGACAGGCACUUAUUUACCGUCCUGCUCGGCAACAUAUUUACUCGCUCUUGUUGGAAGACAAUAAAGAUGCUUGCAAUUCCUGCCCCAUAAUAAAAGAAUGGUUUGUGUACUUUGGGAAUCAGCUGAAGCAUCCAGAACUGGUACAGCCUAUCCAACUGGACAUCCCAGGUGGAACACCUAGUUUGAGAACACUGUGGCUGAGCCAAGAGGCAGGGGUACAAUCCCAGCGUUAUGACACCUUUCUGGCCUGCUUUCACCUUCAGACUGAAAGAGAAGAACUUCAGGCUCUAGACAACUCACGUGCAGCCCUGUGCUGCCUCUUACUCUACCUCCUUGGGCAGGUGGAUGCUUUCUCCCUGGAGGACGUAAAUGCUUUUAUUGCUCAGACUUUGUGCCUCCAAGGAAAAUCAGUUGCUCAACUCUCAGGCUUAAAGAUACUGUGUUUUUUACAAAUUGAAGGUUUGUGGCAAACCUGCAUCAAGCACAUCUGUCGGUACUAUUUUCCAGCAGCGUGGGCUCAUGUCAUGGCGAUGUGUCACAUCUGGCUCACCCAUGUUGACUCCAGAGCUGUCCAUCUUGGUUCUCUCUUCGUCCGAGGCCUUACCACUUUGAUUCUGGCCAAUAAUGCUUGUGGGCUUCCAUUUAGAAUGGAUGAUUUGAUGGCUUGGAAGAUGUUUGAUGGAAAACUUUUUCAACAAAAGUACCAGCAGUCACACAGAGGCUGUCCUGUGGAGGAACUUCUAGAAGGCAAUAAAUGUUGGCUGACUGAGUUCCAGAACUUAAAAUCGCUCAUUUGCAAGGCCUGCUUGAAGAACAACCGAGCUCUUCAAAGCAGACAGCGAGGGAAUGAAUUCAUCAGAGAAAACAGAAGAUGGGACUCCAGUUUCCAGAGACCCCAUCAGUCUCAUUUUGCUCCUUCAUUCCAUAAUCCCAACCAAGGACACCACUGGAGAGGCUUUGGGCCUGGCUCAUCAAGAUUCGAAACCGGCCCCUCAGCUUUACAGACUCUGACCUAUGACCUGCUGAAAAGAAGGUAGAGGAUAUAAGUCAGAGGAACAAAACCAGAAGAAAAGAAGAUUCCAACACACUCCCAGGUGGCCCAGAUGAAACCAUAAUGCUGGGGUGGAGCAGAAACCUUUUACAGAUGAUCAAAGCAUUCUUAAACUUGGAAACUGAGCAAAGAAAAAUAAACCUGUGUCAUUUGACUGUCUGCAAAUCAAAUCAAAAAAUUGAAUUUAUGAAAAAGGAUGUUCACUUUAAAAUGCCAUUAUAUGUGUGCGUAGUGGCCUCUUCUGUCUUCUGAUCUGUACAAGCGUACAAAAAGUGCUUUUUUUUUUAAAGCAGGUGAAGUACUGAAAGGAGAAUAUUAAUUUACCCAUUCAGAUACGGGGUGAGAUUUCACAUUAAAAGCCCUUUUUCUCUUAUAUGUUAUUUCCAUACAGUAAAACAUCUGGAGAGAUUCCUCUGUAGUGAUAGAGCAAAGAUGGUGAUAAUUCCACAUAUUCUUUAUUACCUUCAAAAGUUUUCAUUACAGUAUGGGAAUGAUCUGGGAUUUACCAUCAAGUAUAACUUAGUAAGUCCUAAGGUAAAGUGACUUGCCUAGGAUCCCUGAGCGACUAAGCCCCAGUGGCAGCAUUUGAACCCAAGUUUACCUGAAUCCUAACCAAACCCUCCCUCCUCUGCACUAAGCUGCUGACGUGUUUGGAAACAAUAACAAAUGGAGAUUUACCUGGAAAAUAUAAUAUUGCCACUGAGGUCAACUGUAAAUGGCGUAAAAAUGUGAAUAGAAAGUUUUCAAAGUAAGAUUAAUAAAUUAAUAUUUGUAAAUACGAAUCAACUACCAAACAUGCCUACCCUGUGCCCAGAGGUGUGUUCUACGUUAUUUAUGGGAGAUAUAGUUAAAGUAGAAGACACAGUUUCUGCCUUCCAGAAGCAUAAGGCACAUAAAACAACAAUUUAGGUGAACAUAUAUAAUUAAGUGAUAUGUUAUUUGGAAUUUGUUUUGUGUCCUGGGAAGGAAAGAAAGAUCAUUGUAAACGGGAGCGGUCAAGGACAAUAUUCUCAUCUAUGAGAGAAUUUCUCACGAAGAUGGUUUCUCUUGGAGGCAAGAGAACUUCAACUCUUGAGACAACUUAGGAAAGGUUGAAAUCUCAGUGGGAGAGAAAGGGAAAAAAUAGGGGAGGAAUGAGAAGAAGGAAAGAAGUAAAAAGUGAAAAAAAAAAGAAGGGGAAAAGAGAAGGGGAAAAAAGGAAUCUGGUGAGAAGUGGUAGAGCAGCUAUGUUGAAAGUUGCCUCCUUUUAGCCUAAAAAUACUAUCAUGAAAUAACAAUGGGGUUUAAGACUACUUUCCCAUAUUAAUACAAUUAAAAAUGAAUAAUUUUCUUAAUUCAGUCUAUAAACACUCCAUGCAAAUUGUAUAAGUAUUUUUAAGCAGAUUCCCACUUUUUCCCCACUUCCUUCUCAGUUUUUAAGUAGCCCUACAUAGGAUCAUGAAUUUCAAGCUAGAAGGAGCCUUAAAAAGUCAAUGUGUCAGGAUAGCUUAGUGACUCAGUGGAUAGAGAGCCAGAUCUAGAGAUGAGAUCCUGGGUUCAAAUAUAACUUCACACACUUCCUAGUUAUGUGACCCUGGGCAAGUCUCUUAACCCCCAAAGCCCAGCCUUUACCACAGUUUUCAUUCUAAGAUAGAAGAUAAGGGAGUAUUUUUAAGACAUUAUAUCCAAUAUUGCAAUAUAUCCAAUAUAUCCAAUAUUGCAGAUAACAGUAUUAUUUUUUAAUCUGAUAUUUUUCCAUUAAUUCCAAUAAACCUUUUUUUAAACAAAGAAACUGCAAGAAGGUCUUUUUAAGGCAGAGUGAUAAUGAAUUUUAAAAGGUUCUUUACUUUCUGACAGAACUUAAUGAUAAUCAUCUUAGUAGAAAGUGGUGCAGCAAUUAUUUUAUCAGUUAAUUUUAAUUAUUUGUUUAUGGUAUAUCAAGGAAAUAACUUGUAUUAAAAACAAAAAGUCAUCAAUAAACUUUCUUUCAAAUAA